rnacentral:rRNA from 1 species
GACGAACGCUGGCGGCAUGCCUAAUACAUGCAAGUCGAGCGAACAGAUGAAGUGCUUGCACUUCUGACGUUAGCGGCGAACGGGUGAGUAACACGUAAGUGAUCUACCUAUAAGAGGGGGAUAACAUUCGGAAACUGGUGCUAAUACCGCAUAAUAUCUUCUUACGCAUGGGAGAAGAUUGAAAGACGGCUCUGCUGUCACUUAUAGAUGACCUUGCGGUGCAUUAGUUAGUUGGUGGGGUAACGGCCUACCAAGACGAUGAUGCAUGGCCGACCUGGGAGGGUGAUGGGCCACAUUGGGACCGAGGCACGGCCCAAACUCCUACGGGAGGCAGCAGUAGGGAAUCGUCCGCAAUGGGCGAAAGCCUGACGGAGCAAUGCCGCGUGAGUGAAGAAGGCCUUCGGGUCGUAAAACUCUGUUAUAAGAGAAGAACAAAUUGUAGAGUAACUGCUACAGUCUUGACGGUAUCUUAUCAGAAAGCCACGGCUAACUACGUGCCAGCCGCCGCAGUAA